AUCUGGGAAACCUGCAGCCCUGUACCAGCGCGGGGCCCGCGCGUGCGAGUCCGACCGCUUGCUGCGGCUGCUCGCUCUCCAACCCCCCCUCCCUCCUUUCCUCCCUCCCACCCACCCUCCUCUGGGAUUCUUGCAAGUAUCGUGCGUGCCCUUGUGAGUUUGGAGGGUGCCGGUCAACGAAGCCACGCGAGGUAUUUGAAAGGCAAUCAGCCCGACCGUCCCCCUAGAUUCAUCGUUUUGCGAGGUGGCUGUGACCGCUGUCGACAAGUGCUUUCUCAGCCGCAACCCAGCUGAAAGAGUUAAGGGGCCCGGGAGGAGGAGUGCGCCCGGGAGAAGGAACUCAGUGAAUAUUGCCCUGGGUCCUGGUAAUUCCACCUACUGAAGACAACUGCCCCUUCUGCUCAUAUUUCCUGAGUCAACAUGGCCGUUCCUAACUUUGAAGAGACUUUAGACAUUCUUUGUUACAAUGAACCUAGAAGAAAGAAGAGAAAUAUUACAGCGACUGUGCCCGGGACUGUAAGGCGGAUAAGACCCAGCAGAAUAACUGCCAUGGAAGGAUGCUCCUCCUGCCAAUUGGCACUUAUCAAUGACAUCGAGGGAGAGGGACAGAGUGCCUAGGUAUGAGCCUUCAUCAAGUGGUAUGAAGGCCCUACCCCAACAGAAAGUGCUGAUGUGAUGAAAUGGUGCUUUGGACAAGACUUUUCCUCCAAGUUGGUCCUAUCCAGGGGUUGGCAAACAGGGUCCCUGGACAUCAUCCAUGUGGCAUACUCUUAUGAAUAAAGUUCUAUAGGACACAGA
rnacentral:lncRNA from 1 species